GGGAAAUCAGUAGUGGCACAAUGGUGUGACCUUGAAAUUCAGCAGAUAAAAAUGAAAACACACACACAAUCCCAAAAAAGGAAAAAAAUGUUUACCACAGGAAGAAAGAAAUGACCCUAAAACACAUCCAACCACUUGGGCAAUGUUACACAUAACUGCCAGGUGUCAAGACACCAGUAAAAUUCUCAAAUGAGUGGAAUGAAGCUGAGGCAAAAAAGGAUGUUGGGCAUAUUUAAAUAAUUACAAGACAUAAAAUAGCCAAAUCUUGUCUCCCAUAUACCAUAUUAUGCUUGACGCUCUACAUGUAUUACUCCAUGAAUCUUCUAAAAGAAACUCCAGAAGUAUUACUGUCUUCAUAUUACAGAUGAAGAAACUAUAGUUCAGGAAGAUUCAGUUGUAUGUUCCAGUGUUCACAGGAUGGAAAACCUGCAUAAAUAUUAGCUAGAUGACUAAAUAAGUGAAGAUGAAAAGGUAGGACUGGUUAUAUUCAGUUUAAGAACACUGAGUUUCUAUGCCUGUAAUCACAGCUACUUGGGAGGCUGAGGCACGAGACUCGCUUGAACUCAGGAGGCAUAGGCUGCAGUGAGCCGAGAUUGCACCUGCACUCCAGCCUGGGCGACAGAGCAAGAUUCCGUCUCAAAAACAAAACAAACCAGUAACUUAAUCUUGAACUAACACAAGCCAAGGUGCAAUUACUUUACACAGCUAUAGUGCACUGGAAAAAAAAAAAGUUCUCUUAGACUACAUGUUACCAAGAGCACUGGUAGUACAUUAAUGAAAUGUGGGGAUUCCAGAUAAUUCUGAAUAUACACUUACAAAAGUACAGCUACAAAAUUCUCUCCUGGGGACUUUAAUACUUCAUGAAAAUUUUCCCACAGAAGAUUUUGCAAUCAGCUGACAUGAACAGCAGACAUGCUUUAAAGUAAGUUUCUUGCUGUAAAGUUUUAAAUUAGCAUUUUGGUCAAGACUAAGUUAAACCUCAAGUGACUAGUGUAUACUGAGAAAAAAAAUCCCCAGAAAAACAAAGUAACAAACUACUGUGUGGACUUUCAAAAUGAAAAAAUACCACUCUAGUCUGUAACCUAAAAACGUAACUGUGGCAGCUGCCAUUCCUCUGACAGUGCUGCUUUCUACAUCACAAACACCCACCAUGAGAGCAACUCACCUCUUACAGAAAGAAGCAUUUACUAAAGGUUAUAAAACUGCAACCAAGUGCAGUUAGAGUUCAAUUAUCUGAGCCACUAAGAAAGUAAGCAACGAUGUCCUACAUAAUCUACAACUCACAAAUUUGGCCUUAAAAUAUGACC
rnacentral:lncRNA from 1 species